rnacentral:rRNA from 1 species
GAUUGACCUCGGAUCAGGUUAGGAUACCGCUGAACUUAAGCAUAUCCAUAAC